GGACGCGACACGGGGUGCCUCCGCCGGAUGCGGACGCUGAGAUCCAAACCCGUCGAACCUGACUAGUUAGCACUAGCGAAGGGAUGUCGCCAUGAACGUUC
rnacentral:ncRNA from 2 species